AACGCGAAGAACCUUACCUGGGCUUGAACUACUCGUGGUAGUUCGCUGGAAACAGUGGACGACCCGCAAGGGAGCGAGCAGAGGUGCUGCAUGGUUGUCGUCAGCUCGUGUCGUGAGAUGUUGGGUUAAGUCCCGCAACGAGCGCAACCCCUAUCUCAUGUUGCUAAUCCCGCAAGGGAUGCACUCUUGAGAAACUGCCUUCGAUAAGAAGGAGGAAGGUGGGGACGACGUCAAAUCCUCAUGGCCCUUAUGUCCAGGGCUACACACGUGCUACAAUGGCCGGUACAACGGGAAGCAAGGCCGCAAGGCGGAGCAAAACCCUGAAAGCCGGCCCCAGUUCAGAUUGUGGGCUGCAACUCGCCCACAUGAAGGCGGAAUCGCUAGUAAUCGCGAAUCAGCAGGUCGCGGUGAAUACGUUCCCGGGCCUUGUA
rnacentral:rRNA from 1 species